UGGGGUGUCGCCAAGUUGGUAAGGCAACGGGUUUUGAUCCCGUCAUUGCGCAGGUUCGAGUCCUGCCACCCCAGCCA
rnacentral:tRNA from 1 species